CAGGACCAUGAGAAAAAGACCUGAAUUCAAAUUUCUGAACAUAAAGUCAUUUGAAUGGACUGUCUUUUGGGAUGUUAUUUCCAUCUUUUGGAAAAUCUUUGAAACCAGCUGGAUAAAGUUUGUCAGUCAGCAUCCUCUAGAGCAGCUGGUUCAGCUGGAUCAGUUGGUUACUGAGCAGGGAAUCCUAUAAGCCACAAUAAUAGGAACAGACCUGUCAUCUCAGGUAGAAAGACUUAUUGAGCCCUGAUUUUUCUGCUUCGAUCUAAUAGGGACAUGGUUUCUGUCUGUAAUCAUUAGACAGACCUUGAAAUGUGGAGGUGGAAGAUUUCUUAUCAGCUGCGGUUUCCCAACAAUGCUGCUCCUGGAAGUGUAUAUAAGAAAAGCUCCACGUUCAGAGCAACACCACAACAACCUCCCUGAUCAUCUGUGAGACAGUCUGCUGAAGCUAAGACCUGACGGUGUGAUCACUGAAACCAUGCUGAAGGUAGCACUUGUUCUUGGAUGCCUCCUGAGCCUCGCUCUGGCCAAUCCUAUGGAUGGAGGACACAAACGAUUUGCCCGCUCAAGCGCUGGUUCUGAUUCUACUUCUGAUGAGGCUACCACUACAACUGCUACAACUACUGCUGCUGGUGCUACUACCACUUUGUCUCCAGCACAACUAACACAAAUCCUCCAGGCUCUUCUUGCCCUCUUACAAGGAUAAUAACCUUCAGUUAUGGAGCACUUUUCAAAUUCCAAGUUCAUUAAAGUGCUUCACAAGACUAAAGAAAUUAAACAGAGAAAUCAAAAAAUUGUCAGAUUGAAAAAAAAAAAACAACACAAUUCGAUGGAUGAAAAUCAGUGUUGGAAAAAGUAAAUAAAAAACUUUUGAGAGAAAUCAAAGACAGUUCAAAGGAAACUACAUCUCCCGUAAAAUCAGGAAAGUAUGCUUUAAGAAGUAAACAGCAAGAUCUUAAAAUGUGUCCUGAAACACACCUCCUGUUUCCUACUGCUGCUACAACUACUACAGCAGCAACGACUACAACAGCUGCUCCAUUCUAAUAUCUGAAAUGUAACCAGGAACCAAGAAGUGAAUGAAAACCAGUUUGAAGUGGAUUUUCAAUGUCAGCUCUGUUUCCUGUUGGUUUGAAAUGUUUCUUGAGAAUUUGUUCAAAUUUUCUGCUCUCAAGUUUAAAUCAUGUUUUUCACCU